CAAAGGCAUGGUCCCGACCUUAUUAUCAACUCUAGCCCAACUUACACAUGCAAGUCUCCGCAGCCCCGUGAGUAAGCCCUCAAUCCCCUGCCCGGGGACGAGGAGCAGGCAUCAGGCACAAAUCUUUAGCCCAAGACGCCAGGCCGAGCCACACCCCCAAGGGAAUUCAGCAGUGAUAAAUAUUAAGCCAUAAGUGAAAACUUGACUCAGUCAGAGCUAAGAGGGCCGGUAAAACUCGUGCCAGCCACCGCGGUUAAACGAGAGGCCCUAGUUGAUAGUACAACGGCGUAAAGGGUGGUUAAGGACAGCGAAUCAAUAAAGUCGAAUGGCCCUUUGGCUGUUAUACGCUUCUAGGAGUCCGAAGUCCAAUAUACGAAAGUAACUUUAAGAACGCCCACCUGACCCCACGAAAGCUGAGAAACAAACUGGGAUUAGAUACCCCACUAUGCUCAGUCAUAAACCCAGACGUCCAGCUACAAUUAGACGUCCGCCCGGGUACUACGAGCAUUAGCUUGAAACCCGAAGGACCUGACGGUGCCUCAGACCCCCCUAGAGGAGCCUGUUCUAGAACCGAUAACCCCCGUUAAACCUCACCGCUUCUAGCCAUCCCAGCCUAUAUACCGCCGUCGUCAGCUUACCCUGUGAAGGCAAUAAAAGUAAGCAAAAUGGGCACAACCCAGAACGUCAGGUCGAGGUGUAGCGUACGAAG
rnacentral:rRNA from 1 species